rnacentral:lncRNA from 1 species
CCCUGAUGAUAGUGAACAGAGAUCCCUACACUUAUGAGGAGGCUAUGGAAAGUCAUGAUAGAGAUAGGUGGGUCCAAGCUAUGCCUAAAGAAAUACAAUCUCUCCACAAGAAUCAGACGUGGCGAUUGAUGUAGUUGCUCAAGAGAAGAAACCCAUUGGCUGCAAAUGGAUUUUCCAAUGCAAGGAGGGGCAUUCGAAAUAGAGAGUUAUCAGGUACAAGGUGA